rnacentral:misc_RNA from 1 species
GAUGAAGAACGCAGCGAAAUGCGAUAAGUAAUGUGAAUUGCAGAAUUCAGUGAAUCAUCGAAUCUUUGAACGCACCUUGCGCCCUUUGGCUAUUCUGAAGGGCAUGCCUGUUUGAGUAUCAUGAACACCUCAACUCUCAUGGUUCGCCAUGAUGAGCUUGGACUUUGGGGGUCUUGCUGGCCUACGGUCGGCUCCUCUCAAAUGAAUCAGCUUGCCAGUGUUUGGUAGAGUCGCAGGUGUGAUAACUAUCUACGCUUGUGGUUUUCUGCCAGAUAACCUUCAGUGACGGAGGUUCGCUGGAGCUUAUAAAUGUCUCUCCCCAGUGAGGACAGCUUUUUGAACGUUUGAUCUCAAAUCAGGUAGGACUACCCGCUGAACUUAAGCAUAUCAAUAAGCGGAGGA